AAGUAAAUGUGUUUCAGAUCCAGUGAAGACUCCUGACCUGACUGUCACCUUUAACCCGAGCAGAGACUCCUGUAGUGUAAACUUCACAUGUAGAGCUCAUCACAUCACACUUCACUCCACUUAUAAUAAUGAUAACUGCUCUCCAGAGGAAGUGACAUCACAUGAAAAGUUCACUCUCAUCCUGAUCUGUAGUGAUGAAACCAUCAUCUGUAACCAUAGCAACCCUAUCAGCUGGGAAAUAGACACAAUAGACAUUAGACAGCUGUGUCAAGUGAAUGAAAUUUCAGCCCAUCGUCCCACUCAAAGUUCAUCUUUGUUUAUUAUUGUGAUGGUUGUGGUUGUUGCUGGAGUGAUUGUGGUUUGUGGUUUGCUCCUUUACUGUUGCUGCAAGAAUAAAAAAGGUGUUCAUAAGGAUGAUGAUAAAGACUAUGAUGAUGUUGAGACUCUGAAUCACAUUCAUAAGAUGUCUGAAGAUAUCUGGACCACUGUUACAUACAGUACCAUACAGUAGG